CUCUCUCUCUCUCUGUGUGUGUGUGUGUGUGUGUGUGUGUGUGUGUGUAAGAGGCAGGGAAGGGUAAGGAGAGAGAGAGAGAGAGAGAGAGAGAGAGAGAGAGAGAGAGAGAGAGAAGGAGGAGGAGGAGGAGAUACUAUGAAUAGAAAAAUAAAUGAGAAAAGAUCAGGAAACUUCCACUCUUCUCAAAGAACAAAACCUCUGAAAAUAAACAUUUGUGUCUUUUUUUUUAACGUGUUUAGAAUGUCUAAGGCAGGAAAACACUGCCCCUGUGUAGCCAGCCGCAUCUGGGCUCUUUUUUAGCACCAAAGUGAUGUUCUCUGAGGCAGUGGGAUCUUGUGAGGAAAGCAGGAGAGGCAGGGCUGUUGGGUAGCAGUG
rnacentral:lncRNA from 1 species